GAUCAUGGCUCAGGAUGAACGCUAGCUACAGGCUUAACACAUGCAAGUCGAGGGGCAGCGGGAAGUCAGCUUGCUGACUUUGCCGGCGACCGGCGCACGGGUGAGUAACACGUAUCCAACCUUCCCGUUACUCUGGAAUAGCCUUUCGAAAGAAAGAUUAAUACCGGAUAGUAUCGAGAGAUUGCAUGAUUACCCGAUUAAAGAUUCAUCGCUGAUAGAUAGGCAUGCGUU
rnacentral:rRNA from 1 species